UACAGAGGGGGCAAGCGUUGUUCGGAAUUACUGGGCGUAAAGGGCGCGUAGGCGGCCUUCUAAGUCGAAUGUGAAAUCCCCGGGCUCAACCCGGGAACUGCGUCCGAUACUGGAAGGCUUGAAUCCGGGAGAGGGAUGCGGAAUUCCAGGUGUAGCGGUGAAAUGCGUAGAUAUCUGGAGGAACACCGGUGGCGAAGGCGGCAUCCUGG
rnacentral:rRNA from 1 species